GACAGAGGUGCCAAGCGUUAGGCGGAAUCACUGGGCUUAAAGCGUGUGUAGGCGGACUUGUAAGUAUCUUGUGAAAUCCCACGGCUCACCCGUGGAACUGCUGGAUAUACUGCGAGUCUUGAGCCACUUAGGGGCUGUCGGAACAGGCGGUGGAGCGGUGAAAUGUGUAGAUAUCGCCUGGAACGCCAAAGGUGAAAACAGACAGCUGGGAGUGUGCUGACGCUGAGACACGAAAGCCAGGGGAGCGAACGGG
rnacentral:rRNA from 1 species